rnacentral:rRNA from 1 species
AGUUUGAUUUUGGCUCAGGAUGAACGCUAGCUACAGGCUUAACACAUGCAAGUUGAGGGGAAACGACAUCGAAAGCUUGCUUUUGAUGGGCGUCGACCGGCGCACGGGUGAGUAACGCGUAUCCAACCUGCCCACCACUUGGGGAUAACCUUGCGAAAGUAAGACUAAUACCCAAUGAUAUCUCUAGAAGACAUCUGAAAGAGAUUAAAGAUUUAUCGGUGAUGGAUGGGGAUGCGUCUGAUUAGCUUGUUGGCGGGGUAACGGCCCACCAAGGCUACGAUCAGUAGGGGUUCUGAGAGGAAGGUCCCCCACAUUGGAACUGAGACACGGUCCAAACUCCUACGGGAGGCAGCAGUGAGGAAUAUUGGUCAAUGGACGAGAGUCUGAACCAGCCAAGUAGCGUGCAGGAUGACGGCCCUAUGGGUUGUAAACUGCUUUUAUAAGGGAAUAAAGUGAGUCUCGUGAGACUUUUUGCAUGUACCUUAUGAAUAAGGACCGGCUAAUUCCGUGCCAGCAGCCGCGGUAAUACGGAAGGUCCGGGCGUUAUCCGGAUUUAUUGGGUUUAAAGGGAGCGUAGGCCGGAGAUUAAGCGUGUUGUGAAAUGUAGAUGCUCAACAUCUGCACUGCAGCGCGAACUGGUUUCCUUGAGUACGCACAAAGUGGGCGGAAUUCGUGGUGUAGCGGUGAAAUGCUUAGAUAUCACGAAGAACUCCGAUUGCGAAGGCAGCUCACUGGAGCGCAACUGACGCUGAAGCUCGAAAGUGCGGGUAUCGAACAGGAUUAGAUACCCUGGUAGUCCGCACGGUAAACGAUGGAUGCCCGCUGUUGGUCUGAAUAGGUCAGCGGCCAAGCGAAAGCAUUAAGCAUCCCACCUGGGGAGUACGCCGGCAACGGUGAAACUCAAAGGAAUUGACGGAAGGGCGU